ACUGACUCAUGCUGGCUGGACCACCCCCACUAACCCCCCAACUGGACCACACUGACUCCUGCUGCCUGGACCACCCCCACUAACCCCCCAACUGGACCACACAGACUCUGCUGCCUGGGCCACCCUCACUGGACCACACUGACUCCUGCUGCCUGGACCACCCCCACUGGACCACACUGACUCAUGCUGCCUGGACCACCCCUACUAACCCCCCAAAUGGACCACACUGACUCAUGCUGCCUGGACCACCCCCACUGGACCACACUGACUCAUGCUGCCUGGGCCACCCCCACUGGACCACACUGACUCAUGCUGCCUGGACCACCCCCACUGGACCACACUGACUCAUGCUGCCUGGACCACCCCCACUAACCCCCCAACUGGACCACACUGACUCAUGCUGCCUGGACCACCCCCACUGGACCACACUGACUCAUGCUGCCUGGACCACCCCCACUGGACCACACUGACUCCUGCUGCCUGGACCACCCCCACUGGACCACACUGACUCAUGCUGCCUGGACCACCCCCACUAACCCCCCAACUGGACCACACUGACUCAUGCUGCCUGGACCACCCCCACUGGACCACACUGACUCAUGCUGCCUGGACCACCCCCACUGGACCACACUGACUCCUGGUACUCUAACUUCCGCGAUGCAUACAAAUCUCUUCCCCGCCUUCCCUCCCUUCGGCAAAUCUGACCACGACGCCAUCUUGCUCAUCCCGGCUUAUAGGCAGAAUCUCAAACAGGUGGUACCAGUGACGAGAACCAUUCAACGCUGGUCUGACCAAUCGGAAGCCACGCUCCAAGAUUGUUUUGAUGACACGGACUGGAAUAUGUUCCGGUCAGCCUCAGAGAACAACAUUGAUCUAUACGCUGACUCGGUGAGUGUGUUUAUAAAUAAGUGCAUUGGAGAUGUCGUACCCACUGUGACUAUUAAAACCUACCCUAACCAGAAACCAUGGAUGGAUGGCGGCAUUUGCAAAAAACUGAAAGCACGAUCCACCGCAUUUAACCAUGGAAAGAGGUCUGGUGAUAUGGCUGAAUAUAAACAUUGUAGUUAUUCCCUCCACAAGGCAAUCAAACAAGCGAAAUGCCGGUACAGGGACAAGGUGGAGGUGCAAUUCAAUGGCUCAGACACCUGACGUAUGUAGCAGGGUCUACAGGAAAUCACAGACUACAAAAACAAAAUCAGCCACGUCACGGAUACCGACGUCACGCUUCCAGACAAACUAAACACCUUCUUUGCCCUCUUUGUGGACAAUACAGUGCCACCGUUGCGGCUCCCUAUCAAAGACUGCACCCCCCUCCUCUCCUUCUCAGUGGCUGACGUGGGGUUUCAGGUGUCUCCGGAAGGUGGUGAUUGACUCCGCUGUCCUGGCGUCGUGAGGGAGCUUGUUCCACCAUUGGGGUGCCAGAGCAGCGAACAGUUUUGACUGGGCUGAGCGGGAACUGUGCUUCCUCAGAGGUAGGGGGGCCAGCAGGCCAGAGGUGGAUGAACGCAGUGCCCUUGUUUGGGUGUAGGGCCUGAUCAGAGCCUGAAGGUAUGGAGGUGCCGUUCCCUUCACAGCUCCGUAGGCAAUCACCAUGGUCUUGUAGCGGCUACCAUUGUUCCUGUACCCAAGAAGGCAAAGAUAACUAAACUAAAUGACUACCACCCCGUAGCACUCACUUCUGUCAUCAUGAAGUGCUUUGAGAGGCUAGUCAAGGAUCAUAUCACCGCCACCUUACCGGUCACCCUAGACCCACUUCAGUUUGCAUACCGCCCCAAUAG
rnacentral:lncRNA from 1 species